rnacentral:rRNA from 1 species
GGAUCGGAUCAGAAUGCCACGGUGAAUACGUUCCCGGGCCUUGUACACACCGCCCGUCACACCAUGGGAGUGGGUUGCAAAAGAAGUAGGUAGCUUAACCUUCGGGAGGGCGCUUACCACUUUGUGAUUCAUGACUGGGGUGAAGUCGUAACAAGGUAACCGUAGGGGAACCUGCGGUUGGAUCACCUCCUUA